AACGAACGCUGGCGGCAUGCCUAACACGUGCAAGUCGAGCGGGGACUUCGGUCCUAGCGGCGGACGGGUGAGUAACGCGUGGGAACGUGCCCUUUGCUUCGGAAUAGCCCCCUGGAAACGGGGAGUAAUACCGGAUGUGCCCUAUGGGGGGAAAGAAUUUCGGCAAAGGAUCGGCCCGCGUUGGAUUAGGUAGUUGGGUGGGGGUAAUGGGCCUACCAAGCCGACGAUCCAUAGCUGGUUUGAGAGGAUGAUCAGCCACACUGGGACUGAGACACGGCCAGACUCCUACGGGAGGCAGCAGUGGGGAAUCUUAGACAAUGGGCGCAAGCCUGAUCUAGCCAUGGCCGCGUGAGCGAU
rnacentral:rRNA from 1 species